AGCCACCAUGUUUUCUGCACUUGCGACUAGAGAGCACCUUGAUAGCUCAGUUGGUAGAGCGGUGUACUGUAAGAUGCUCCUUGUGUGAAACGCUGUGAUCCUAAGGUCGCUGGUUCAACUCCAGCUCCAAGCACCUCCUUGUCAUUGGAAAUACCCCCAAGCCUUGUCUUUAUCUGUCAACUCCUCCAAAAUCUCAAAACACAAAGAAGAUAACUCUUUCUUUAAUUUUCAACCAUCAAUGUUUUAUUCACCCAGCCUAAAAGUCCUGAUUAUCAGUUCUGGGUCCCUGGCAAUGACUGUUGGGUACAAACUGCAAAGCUUUGUUCUGCAGGUAGGGCUGGGCUUUUCAUUGACCAUGGGUUGGAAUAGUUCUGUGGGCAUAGUGUGUCUUCGAAGCCACUAUGUUUUCUGCACUUGUGACUAGAGAGCACCUUGAUAGCUCAGUUGGUAGAGCGGUGGACUGUAAGAUGCUCCUUGUGUGAAACGCCGUGAUCCUAAGGUCGCUGGUUCAACUCCAGCUCCAAGCA